UACAGUCAUAUCGCGUUGAAACAUUGGUUCGCGUACAAUCACCGAAGUUAAGCAACGUCGAGCCUGGUCAGUAUCUAAAUGGGUGACCACUUGGGAAUAUCA